AUGUUGGGGUGGACCGACUCGAAGCGCUGGAUCUCGGCGCGGAUGGCAGCCGAGUUGGCCCAGCUGCUGCUGGUAGUUCAUGGUGCAGGCACCGCGCCCGGAGCCGCGCGCCCCCCGCCGCCGCCGCCGCCCCGCGCCCCGGGGCCCGCGGGCCGCCGAGCCCGGGGCGCCGCAGCCCCCGGGGAGCCGGGCCCGCCGGCGGCGGGCGGAGGAGGCGCGAGAAGAAAGGAGCGGGCGGAGCAGGCGCGGGGCCGGCCCGCCGACUCAGUUCAUGGCCGGGACGCGCGGCCGGCGGGCGGGCGGGCGAGCGAGCGGGCCCCGGCGCCCCGGGUCAGCGGGCCCCCAUGGAGCGCCGCGGCGGGCGCGGCCGGCCCCGGAGGAGGCUCGCUCGGGCGCCUUCCUGCGCCGCAGCCGCCUUCCACCCCUAGGCGCUGCCCCGCCGAGCAGCCAUUAAAGCCCAGGCAGCCGCCGCGCUCUGAGCGCCGGGGCCGAGGGCCGGCCCGCGGGCAGCGGCCGCGCCGCUCGGGGCGCCCGGCCGCGGCGUGGGUCCGCGCGCUGCGUGCUGCGCCGCCCGGCGCGCCGGGGCCCCUGCGCCGAGCCCGCCGCGCCGCCCGCCGAGCCGGGACCGAGCCGCAGGCGCCUUGCAAGCCCCGGAGCCCGCGCCGAGCGCCACUCGCCCCCUGCCCGGCCGGCCCCCUCCCUGGCACGCAGGGCUCCGGCCCACGUCGGCCCCGCCUCCGCCUGCGCCCCGCCCGCCCGCGCGCUUGCCGCUUGCCGCUCGCGGCCCGCCGCCCGCCGCCGCUGCGUCCUCCCCGGCGCUUCCCAGCGCGCCGGAUCCCGGGGAAUUGCGCCAGGCUCCGCCCCGCGCCUGCCCCUAGGCUUCCUGGGACUUGUAGUCCACGCCGCGCCGCGUCGGCGCCCCGCCGGGACCGCGGGGAGGAGGCGCGCACGACGCCCGGGGCCCCAGUGCGGCCGGGGCCCCGGGGGCGAGGGCCCGGGCUGACAGGCUCGCAGACCCGCGACGCGGCCGGGCCCCUGCCCCAGCCUCUCCACGAGUGUCUGCGCUGCCCCGCGGCUGUCCCGCCGUCUCGGGACCCGGGAGGCCGGGCACGACCCCGCCCGCGUUUUUGUUUGUUUCUGGGCAGCUGGUUAGAGGAGCUUCUGCGACUCACUGUGUCCCCCGACCGCACUUUGUUGCUUCCCCUCCCCCCAGCCCCAGUUUUCACUUGCUGUCUCCUUUUGCGAAAGUGA
rnacentral:lncRNA from 1 species